rnacentral:rRNA from 1 species
AUUGAACGCUGGCGGCAGGCUUAACACAUGCAAGUCGAGCGAGCGGCGGACGGGUGAGUAAUGUCUGGGAAACUGCCUGAUGGAGGGGGAUAACUACUGGAAACGGUAGCUAAUACCGCAUACUAUCAGAUGAGCCCAGAUGGGAUUAGCUAGUAGGUGGGGUAAAGGCUCACCUAGGCGACGAUCCCUGGCUGGUCUGAGAGGAUGAUCAGCCACACUGGGACUGAGACACGGCCCAGACUCCUACGGGAGGCAGCAGUGGGGAAUAUUGCACAAUGGGCGCAAGCCUGAUGCAGCCAUGCCGCGUGUGUGAAGAAGGCCUUCGGGUUGUAAAGCACUUUCAGCGGGGAGGCGUUACUCGCAGAAGAAGCACCGGCUAACUCCGUGCCAGCAGCCGCGGUAAUUC